AUUCCAUGGUGUGGGCAGCAUUGCAGUAUGUCCUUGUACCUCUCCCAAGUGUCGUACAUCAACUCAUUAUCAAACUGCACAAAAAAAGAUAUGUCAUCUCUAAGUUU
rfam:Ricinus communis cultivar Hale ctg_1100012359772, whole genome shotgun sequence.